GGGACAAGAAGACCCUAUGAAUCUUAAUUAUUUUUAAAAUUAAAAAUUAUUUUAAAAUAAUUUAAUUGGGGCGAUUGAAAAAGAAUAUUUAUCUUUAUUUUGAAUUUAUUUUUUAAAUAUGGGAAAAGAUACUCUAGGGAUAACAGCGUUAUUAUUUUGGAUAGUUCAUAUUGAUAAAAUAGUUUGCGACCUCGAUGUUG
rnacentral:rRNA from 1 species